rnacentral:rRNA from 1 species
AGUCACUGACAUUAGAUACCCCUGUAGUCCCAGCCGUAAACAAUGUGCGUUAGGUAUGUCGGUAACCACGUGUUACUGAUGUGCCGAAGAGAAAUCGUGAAACGCACCACCUGGGAAAUACGGUCGCAAGGCUGAAACUUAAAGGAAUUGGCGGGGAGCACCACAACAGGUGGAGCCUGCGGUUUAAUUGGAUUCAACGCCGGACAUCUCACCGGAUAAGACAGCUGAAUGAUUGUCAAUCUGAAGGUUUUACAUGACUAGCUG